CACGUAGGGGGCAAGCGUUGUCCGGAAUCAUUGGGCGUAAAGAGCUCGUAGGCGGCUCGGUAAGUCGGGUGUGAAACCCCCAGGCUCAACCUGGGGACGCCACCCGAUACUGCUGUGGCUAGAGUCCAGUAGGGGAGUGUGGAAUUCCCGGUGUAGCGGUGAAAUGCGCAGAGAUCGGGAGGAACACCCGUAGCGAAGGCGGCACUCUGGGCCGGUACUGACGCUGAGGAGCGAAAGCGUGGGGAGCAAACAGG
rnacentral:rRNA from 1 species